rnacentral:rRNA from 1 species
UGAGGAAUCUUCCACAAUGGACGAAAGUCUGAUGGAGCAACUCCGCGUGCAGGAUGAAGGCCCUCGGGUCGUAAACUGCUUUUAUGAGUGAAGAAUAUGACGGUAACUCAUGAAUAAGGGUCGGCUAACUACGUGCCAGCAGCCGCGGUCAUACGUAGGACCCAAGCGUUAUCCGGAGUGACUGGGCGUAAAGAGUUGCGUAGGUGGUCAGUAAAGUGAAUAGUGAAAUCUGGUGGCUCAACCAUACAGGCUAUUAUUCAAACUCACUGACUCGAGAAUGGUAGAGGUAACUGGAAUUUCUUGUGUAGGAGUGAAAUCCGUAGAUAUAAGAAGGAACACCAAUGGCGUAGGCAGGUUACUGGACCAUUUCUGACACUGAGGCACGAAAGCGUGGGGAGCG